rnacentral:rRNA from 1 species
AGCGAACGCUGGCGGCAGGCCUAACACAUGCAAGUCGAACGAACCCGUCCGGGUUUUUGGCUGGCGGGUGAGUAAGCCGAGGGGACAUGCACUUAUGUGCGGAAUAACCCACAGAAAGUGGUACUAAUACGGAAUGGGCCCUUCAGCGGCAAGAGUAAUCGCCUUUCGAGGGGUCCGCAUCUGAUUAGCUGAGUGGUUGAGGUAAUGGCUCACCAAGGCGGGGAUGAGUAGCUGACCUGAGAAAGUGAUCAGCCACAUCGGGACUGAGACACGGCCCAAACUCCUGCGGGAGGCAGCAGUAGGGAAUCUUCCGCAAUGGACGCAAGUCUGACGGAGCAACGCCGCGUGAGUGAAGAAGGUGUUCGGAUCGUAAAACUCUGUUGUUAGAGAAGAACAAGUGCUAUAGUAACUGUUAGCGCCUUGACGGUAUCUAACCAGAAAGCCACGGCUAACUACGUG